rnacentral:rRNA from 1 species
GAUGAACGCUAGCGGGAGGCCUAACACAUGCAAGCCGAGCGGUAUUGUUUCUUCGGAAAUGAGAGAGCGGCGUACGGGUGCGUAACACGUGUGCAACCUGCCUUUAUCUGGGGGAUAGCCUUUCGAAAGAAAGAUUAAUACUCCAUAAUAUAUUGAACGGCAUCGUUUAAUAUUGAAAGCUCCGGCGGCUAGAGAUGGGCACGCGCAAGAUUAGCUAGUUGGUGAGGUAACGGCUCACCAAGGCGAUGAUCUUUAGGGGGCCUGAGAGGGUGAUCCCCCACACUGGUACUGAGACACGGACCAGACUCCUACGGGAGGCAGCAGUGAGGAAUAUUGGUCAAUGGGUGCAAGCCUGAACCAGCCAUCCCGCGUGAAGGACGACUGCCCUAUGGGUUGUAAACUUCUUUUGUAUAGGGAUAAACCUACCCUCGUGAGGGUAGCUGAAGGUACUAUACGAAUAAGCACCGGCUAACUCCGUG